UACUAAUGCAACUGCGAAUAGCUGUUUAAUACAGUCGUAAUUGUAUUGACUUAGUAUAAUGUUAAUAAUAGUUAUUUAUAGGAUAACUAAGGGAAAGUUUGGCUAAUACGUUUUAACAGUAUUAUAAUUCUUAAUACACAUAUAAUAAUAUUAUAAUAUGAUAAAUAUUAUAUAAAUAUUUUAAUACAUUUAUUUGUAUUAAUAUAUAGAGUUGACUUUAUAAUAUUUAUUUAUUAUAAAGCAUGUCAAACAAGCAUCUAUAGCAUCAAGUCACAAUGUUGGCAUGUGUAUUAUUGAACCUUCAAAGCAUUUACGCAUUCGGAGGAGUAGUUUCUGAUCCCGUCGAAGGUGCCUGAGAGACGGCACUUAGUUCUAAGGAACGCAGCAGGCGCGUAAAUUGCCCAAUGACAAAACAUGUUAUAAUAAAAUAUAUAAUGUAUAUAUAUUGAAUACUCAAUAUUUAAUUGAGGCAGUGACAAGCUGUAAAGAUUGAAUAUAUUAAUUAAGAUAACAUUUGGAAUUGUCGUUUUAUAAUAUUUUUUAAUAUUAUAUUACUUGAUAAUAUACCAAUGUUAUAAAAUAUUCAAUUUGAAUGCGGUGAAUGUAAUAAUUUCAAGUAACAUGUAUAAAAUAUUUAUAUUUUAUUAGUUAUCUGAAUUUUCAAGUGGAGGGCAAGUCUGGUGCCAGCAGCCGCGGUAAUACCAGCUCCACUAGCUUAUACAAUCAUUGUUGCGGUUAAGAGGCUCGUAGUUGGAUUGAAUAAAACAUAUAUACACAAUACUGUGAACAAACCAGAGUGUAUAAAACAUGUAAUAUAUUAUAUAUUUAGCAAUGAAUGUUUUAUCAUGGAAUAUUGCUAUAAUGAAUAUHAAUAUCGAUGGAGAUAGUUGGAGUURAGAGUACUGAUAGGCGAGCGGUGAAAUGCAUUGACCCUAUUAAGACUAACAAAAGCGAAAGCACUUAACUAGAUYAUUCUCUUUGUAUUAUUUUACAAUGAAGAGCGAAGGUUGGGGGAACAAAGAGGAUCAGAUACCCUCGUAGUCCUAUUUUUACAUCAAACUAUGGGAUUUCAUUCACACUAAACACUAAACAUUAUAAUUAUAAUUAUGAUUGAGUAUAUGUCAAAAUAUUACUCUCAUAUUAAAUAAUUAUYAUAUAUAUGAUUAUAUGUACUUUGAGCUCAUAUAAUUAUAUAGGUGAGAUGUAAGCAUUAUAAAGUGAAUAAUAUACAAGUAAUAUUGUAUUAUUAUGAUCUUUAAAAUAAAAAAUGUAAUGUGAUGCACGUUUUAGGUACGAGCUUACUAUAGAAAUAUUUAAAAUAAUACCCUCCUGGGGUAGUAUGCACGCAAGUGUGAAACUUGAAGGAAUUGACGGAAGGGCACCACAAGAACGCGUGGAGCAUGUGGCUUAAUUUGACUCAACCCGGGAAAUCUUACCAGGUCCAGACAUAUUGAGGAUUGACAGGCGAUAGUAUAUAAUUCAUUUAUAUGCAUMAAAAUGAUAGUCCUUUCAUGAUUAURUKAUAGGUGGUGCAUGGCCGUUYUUAGUUMGYGGAGUGAUUUGUCUGCUUAAUUGCGUUUCAGU
rnacentral:rRNA from 1 species